rnacentral:rRNA from 1 species
GACGAACGCUGGCGGCGUGCUUAACACAUGCAAGUCGAACGGAAAGGCCCUUCGGGGUACUCGAGUGGCGAACGGGUGAGUAACACGUGGGUGAUCUGCCCUGCACUUUGGGAUAAGCCUGGGAAACUGGGUCUAAUACCGGAUAGGACUACGCACUGCAUGGUGUGUGGUGGAAAGCUUUUGCGGUGUGGGAUGGGCCCGCGGCCUAUCAGCUUGUUGGUGGGGUGAUGGCCUACCAAGGCGACGACGGGUAGCCGGCCUGAGAGGGUGUCCGGCCACACUGGGACUGAGAUACGGCCCAGACUCCUACGGGAGGCAGCAGUGGGGAAUAUUGCACAAUGGGCGCAAGCCUGAUGCAGCGACGCCGCGUGAGGGAUGACGGCCUUCGGGUUGUAAACCUCUUUCAGUACCGACGAAGCGCAAGUGACGGUAGGUACAGAAGAAGCACCGGCCAACUACGUGCCAGCCGCCGCUGUAAAAC